rnacentral:rRNA from 1 species
AUUGAACGCUGGCGGCAUGCUUUACACAUGCAAGUCGAACGGUAACAGGGUGCUUGCACCGCUGACGAGUGGCGAACGGGUGAGUAAUGCGUCGGAACGUGCCGAGUAGUGGGAGAUAACGCAGCGAAAGUUGUGCUAAUACCGCAUACGUACUGAGGUAGAAAGUGGGGGACCUUCGGGCCUCACGCUAUUCGAGCGGCCGACGUCUGAUUAGCUAGUAGGUGAGGUAAGAGCUCACCUAGGCGACGAUCAGUAGCGGGUCUGAGAGGAUGAUCCGCCACACUGGGACUGAGACACGGCCCAGACUCCUACGGGAGGCAGCAGUGGGGAAUUUUGGACAAUGGGCGCAAGCCUGAUCCAGCCAUGCCACGUGUCUGAAGAAGGCCUUCGGGUUGUAAAGGACUUUUGUCAGGGAGGAAAUCCUAGUGGCUAAUAACUGCUGGGGAUGACAGUACCUGAAGAAUAAGCACCGGCUAACUACGUGCCAGCCGCCGCAGUAAAAC